rnacentral:rRNA from 1 species
GGAUUAGAUACCCUGGUAGUCCACGCCCUAAACGAUGGAUACUAGUCGUCGGAAUACCUAAUUGUUUCGGUGACAAAGCUAACGCAUUAAGUAUCCCGCCUGGGGAUUACGAUCGCAAGAUUAAAACUCAAAGGAAUUGACGGGGGCCCGCACAAGCGGUGGAGCAUGUGGUUUAAUUCGAUGCUACGCGAACAACCUUACCUGGGCUUGACAUCCCGGGCUACCCUGUGAAAGCAGGGGUUCCCUUUUGGGACCCGGUGACAGGUGCUGCAUGGCUGUCGUCAGCUCGUGCUG